rnacentral:rRNA from 1 species
UUGAAAGUGAGUUGAUGUCAUGAGAAAUGUGUUGGUGAGUUCACAGAACGCAGAAUCCGGAUUAUGGAUUUUAAUGAGCCAGGAUGACCCCCAUCACUGGCGGUAAUCAGUUGGGACUCCUCAGUGACAACAUACUGUCUCCACACACUCCCCACCACCAUACAAGAUCAGAGGAGAGACAGAAGUUGGAGCGCCAGGC